AUGGCGGGGGUUCUGGAUGCUUUGGCGUCCUACGUGACCAAGAUGCUUGCCGACAUGGCCAGAGAAGAGGUGGCCAUUCUAAUCGGCGUGUCUGACGGGAUCAAAGACCUGAGCAUCAAGCUUGGGGACCUCAAGAAUUUCUUUGCUGAUGCUGAUCGGAGGAACAUCACCGAUGAGAGUGUACAGGGGUGGGUGGGGGAACUGAAGCGUGCCAUGUACCUGGCCACCGACAUCCUCGACCUAUGUCAGCUCAAGGCCAUGGAGAAAGGUCAAACAAAGGACAGGGGGUGCCUUAACCCUCUGCUUUUUUGCAUGCGGAAUCCCCUCCACGCCCACGACAUCCGCAUCAAGCUGCUCAACCAAAAUUUGGAUGAUAUUUGCAAGAGGGGCAGCAGUUUCAAUUUCAUCAAGCUAGAAGCCUACCAAGACCAAAAGACCACUCGGUCUCCUGCCAUUGACCGCAAAACAGAUUCACUGAUAGAGCGGUCCGGUGUGGUUGGAGAGAAGAUCGAGGAGGACACGAGGGCACUUGUGGAGGUGCUUACAAGGGAGGUGGUAGGUGACAAGAGUGGUCACCUCAUCGUGGUCGCCAUUGUCGGUAUCGGAGGGAUUGGUAAGACUACCCUCGGCAAGAAGGUCUUCAAUGAUGAGGCCAUCGAAGGGAAGUUUACUAAGAAGAUAUGGCUUAGCAUCACACAAGAUUUCACCGAUGUUGAGUUGUUAAGUACGACCAUCACUGCCAUUGGGGCAGAUCUGCCUAGAGGGGGUGGGGCUCAAGACAAGGCCCUACUCGUCGAUGCUCUCAAGAACGCCAUCAAGGACAAGAAGUUCUUUCUUGUACUAGAUGACAUGUGGGAUGUCGAUGCAUGGAACAAACAUCUAAUGACUCCCUUUAGCUAUGGUGGCCCCGGUAGUAGAGUCCUCAUCACCACCAGACAUGACACUGUAGCCCGAAGCAUGAAAGCCUUUCAUCCGUACCAUCAUGUUGACAAAUUAGCUUCACAAGAUGCUUGGUCAUUGCUCAAGAAGCAGGUACUCACAUCAGAGGAAAAUGAACAAGAAGUUGAUAUGCUAGAAGAUAUUGGGUUUCAGAUUCUAGCAAAAUGCGAUGGUUUACCACUUGCUAUAAAAGUUAUGGGUGGACUCUUAUGCAAGAAGGAGAAAACACGACGUGAUUGGCAAGAUGUCCUGAAUGAUGAUAUCUGGUCAGUAUCUCAAAUGUCAAAGGAACUAAAUUAUGCCAUAUAUCUUAGCUAUCAGGACUUAUCACCGUACAUAAAACAGUGCUUCUUGCACUUCUCCCUCAAACCAAAAAAGACAGUGAUAAAUGAUACUGAAAUUGUGUCCAUGUGGGUUGGUGAAGGAUUGGUUGAAGGAGACACAUAUAGUCGUAAUUUGGAAGAAGGGAAUAAGUACUACAAGGAGCUAAUAGUAAGGAACCUUAUAGAGGUAGAUACAGAUUGCCCUAGUCAACUUUUUUGCAACAUGCAUGAUGUUAUUCGCUCAUUUGCUCAAUUUGUGGCUAGGGAUGAAACACUAGUAGGUCACAAUGGAGAUACUAUCAAAACAAAUCUUAGAUCACCGAAUUAUCUUAGAUUAUCCAUAGAAACGAAAGGAGUGGGAUCCGAUGAAUUUGAGUGGAGAUAUUUAAGAGAGCAAAAAUUGCUUAGAUCACUAAUAUUAACUGGAAACCUCAAAAGUCAGCCUGGGGAUUCUUUGACUAUCUUCCCAAGUCUACGUCUUUUGCAUAUAGAUUCUGCAAAUAUUGCUGCACUAGUUGAAUCUAUAUACCAACUCAAGCAUUUGAGAUAUUUGGCAUUAAAGAGGACUGAUAUGUGUAGACUACCAGAGAACAUCCAUGAGAUGAAAUUCCUACAACAUAUUAGCCUUGAUGGUUGUGAAAGUUUCAGGAAACUUCCUGAUAGCAUUAUCAAGCUGCAAGGGUUGAGAUAUCUUGAUAUUGAUGACACACGUAUAUGUAGUAUUCCUAGGGGUUUCCGAGCUCUUACAAAUUUGAGUGCACUAUAUGGGUUUCCAGCCUAUACUGAUGGUGACUGGUGUAGUUUGGAAGAGUUGGGGUCUCUUUCCCAGCUCAAUGAACUUUCACUAGAGAGCCUAGAAAAUGUAUCUAGUGCCUUGUUGGCUGCAAAGGCAAGGAUAAAUGCAAAGAAACAACUUACCUAUCUUUGUUUGAGAUGUGGUGGUAGAGUGGGAGAUGGGUUGGUCCAAGGAGAAGUCUCUGAGUCUAAGGAGGAGGAGCAAAUAAUUGAGGCGGUGUUUGAUGUGCUAUGUCCUCAGCCUUGCAUAGAACACAUCAUAAUAAAAAGAUAUUUUGGCCGCCGGCUCCCAGGAUGGAUGGCGUCCACAGCUAUGGCGCCUCUCGAGAGCUUGAAGAUUCUAGUCCUCGAAGACCUGCCCUGCUGCACCCAACUCCCAGAUGGCUUGUGUAGGCUCCCGUAUUUGGAGUGGAUAAUGGUGGACGGGGCUCCAGUAAUCAAGUGUAUUGGUCCUGAAUUUGUUCAACAGUACAAUCAACUGCACCGUCCUUCAUCUCAGUUGGCUGCUACGUUUCCUAAACUCCAGCAGUUGCAUUUUGACGGAAUGGAGGAAUGGGAGGAGUGGGUUUGGGAGACGGAAGUGAAAGCUAUGCCCUUAUUGGAGGAACUUCGUAUCAGUGAUUGCAAACUGGGUCGUAUGCCUCCAGGACUAAUGUCUCAUGCAAUGGCUUUGAAGAGGAUAGAAAUAUGGAACGUCAAAGGUUUGCACUCCCUAGAGAACUUUCUUUCUGUAGUUGAGCUCGACUUGGGAAACAUAGACGAACUGGCCAUGAUAUCCAAUCUUCCAAAAUUACAAAAGCUUGGAAUUAGUUACUGCAGAAAGCUCAAGACACUGAAGGACAUGGAUGCACUCCGGAGACUCCAUGUGAGAGUUUCCCGCUGGGAAAAUCAACUUCCGGUCUACCUGCAGACUGUAAAGCCAAGUCAUUUGCUGCUGACCAGCAACCUAGAAGUACUCACUUCCAUGGCUGAGGGUGAAUCAAGCUCCGAGUGGGACAAGUUCAGUCAUAUCAAGCAAGUCGAGGCUUAUGCAGAGGAAGGAGGAGAUGAGAAGAAAUGGCACGUGUUCCACACAUCUGAAUCUUGCAACAUACAGACAAAUAUUCAUCAGGAUCGAUUUGUUGAAUAG
rnacentral:rRNA from 1 species